GACGAACGCUGGCGGCGUGCUUAACACAUGCAAGUCGAACGAUGAUGCCCAGCUUGCUGGGUGGAUUAGUGGCGAACGGGUGAGUAACACGUGAGUAACCUGCCCUUUCCUCUGGGAUAACUCCGGGAAACCGGUGCUAAUACUGGAUAUGACUCCAACCUGCAUUGGUAUGGGGUGGAAAGAUUUAUCGGGAUGGGAUGGACUCGCGGCCUAUCAGCUUGUUGGUGGGGUAAUGGCCUACCAAGGCGACGACGGGUAGCCGGCCUGAGUGGGGGACCGGCCACACUGGGACUGAGACACGGCCCAGACUCCUACGGGAGGCAGCAGUGGGGAAUAUUGCACAAUGGGCGAAAGCCUGAUGCAGCGACGCCGCGUGCGGGAUGACGGCCUUCGGGUUGUAAACCGCUUUCAGCUCUGACGAAGCUUUUGUGACGGUAGGAGCAGAAGAAGCACCGGCUAACUACGUGCCAGCCGCCGCGGUAA
rnacentral:rRNA from 1 species